rnacentral:lncRNA from 1 species
GUGUGUGUGUGUGUGUGUGUGUGUGUGCACAUGAGUGUGGCUUCUUACAGAGGCCAGAAGAGGUGUCAGACACCCUCGAGCUGUGGUUACAGGCAGUCAUGAGCCCCUAGUUUGGAUUCUGGGAACCAGAACCUAAGUCCCCUGCAAAGCAGAACCUAUGAUCUCUGAAGCACUGAGGCAUCUCUCUCUCUCCAGUCUACAACACUGAGGCGUCUCUCUCCAGUCCUACAACACUGAGGCAUCUCUCUCUCUCCAGUUCCUACAAAACUGAGGCAUCUCUCUCCAGUUCCUACAACACUGAGGCGUCUCUCUCCAUUCCUACAACACUGAGGCAUCUCUCUCCAGUUCCUACAACACUGAGGCAUCUCUCUCCAGUCCCUACAACACUGAGGCAUCUCUCUCCAGUUCCUACAACACUGAGCCGUCUCUCUCUCUCCAGUCCCUACAACACUGAGGCAUCUCUCUC